AAGUCGUAACAAGGUUUCCGUAGGUGAACCUGCGGAAGGAUCAUUACAGUAUUCUUUUGCCUGCGCUUUAAAUUUGCGCGGCGAAAAAACCUUUACACACUAUGUUUUUCAAUUUUGAAACUUUUUGCUUUGGUCUGCCUUAGAAAUAAGUUGGGCCAAAGGUUUACACCAAACUUCAAUAUUUAUAUUGAAUUGUUAUUUUAAUAUUUGUCAAUUUGUUGAUUAACUCAAAAAUUCUUCAAAAC
rnacentral:misc_RNA from 1 species